AUACGUAGGGUGCGAGCGUUGUCCGGAAUUACUGGGCGUAAAGAGCUCGUAGGUGGUUUGUCGCGUCGUCUGUGAAAUUCCGGGGCUUAACUCCGGGCGUGCAGGCGAUACGGGCAUAACUUGAGUACUGUAGGGGAGACUGGAAUUCCUGGUGUAGCGGUGAAAUGCGCAGAUAUCAGGAGGAACACCGGUGGCGAAGGCGGGUCUCUGGGCAGUAACGGACGCUGAGGAGCGAAAGCAGGGGUAGCGAACAGGAUUAGAUACCCUGGUAGUCCAUGCCGUAAACGGUGGGCGCUAGGUGUAGGGGUCUUCCACGACUUCUGUGCCGUAGCUAACGCAUUAAGCGCCCCGCCUGGGGAGUACGGCCGCAAGGCUAAAACUCAAAGGAAUUGACGG
rnacentral:rRNA from 1 species